GACGAACCGUGCGAACGUUGUUCGGAAUCACUGGGCUUAAAGGGCGCGUAGGCGGGUUUUCAAGUCUGUGGUGAAAUCCUCCAGCUUAACUGGAGAAGUGCCGUGGAUACUGGAGACCUCGAGGAGGGUAGGGGCAUCUGGAACAGCCGGUGGAGCGGUGAAAUGCGUUGAUAUCCUAAGGAACACCGGUGGCGAAAGCGGCUCACUGGAUCUCUUCUGACGCUGAGGCACGAAAGCUAGGGUAGCGAACGGG
rnacentral:rRNA from 1 species